rnacentral:rRNA from 1 species
UGAUCUGAAGUCAGGCAAGAGUACGCGCUGAACUUAAGCAUAUCACUAAGCGCAGGAAUUGAAAUAACUAUGAUUGCCUCAGUAACGGCGAGUGAAGCGGCAAGAGCCCAAGAUGAAAAUUGCUGUCCUUUGGACGCGAAGAAUUGUAAUCUAUAGAGCAGUCGCUGACAGAUCCCUUGAAGCUCAAGUGUCCUGGAAUGGACCGCCAUGGAGGGUGAAAGCCCCGUACGGCAUCGAGGAGGUUCUAAGUGGUGGCUGUUUGAAGAGUCGAGUUGUUCGGGACUGCAGCUCUAAGUGGGAGGUAGACUUCUCCUAAGGCUAAAUAACUAUGAGAGACCGAUAGCGAACAAGUAAUGUGAAUGAAAGAUGAAAAAUAUAUUUAACUAUCCGUAAG